CAUGUGGUUUAAUUCGAUGAUACGCGAGGAACCUUACCUGGGCUAGAAUGUAGUCUGACCGUGGGUGAAAGCUCAUUUUGUAGCAAUACACAGAUUAUAAGGUGCUGCAUGGCUGUCGUCAGCUCGUGCCGUGAGGUGUUGGGUUAAGUCCCGCGACGAGCGCAACCCCCAUCAUUAGUUGCCAUCAGGUUAAGCUGGGAACUCUAAUGAAACUGCCGUCGCAAGACGUGAGGAAGGAGGGGAUGAUGUCAAGUCAUCAUGGCCUUUAUGCCCAGGGCUACACACGUGCUACAAUGGGAAGGACAAAGGGCUGCCACUUGGCGACAAGGAGCUAAUCCCAAAAACCUUCUCUCAGUUCAGAUUGGAGUCUGCAACUCGACUCCAUGAAGCUGGAAUCGCUAGUAAUCGUAUAUCAGCAAUGAUACGGUGAAUACGUUCCCGGGC
rnacentral:rRNA from 1 species